rnacentral:rRNA from 1 species
AAUGAACGCUGGCGGCAUGCCUAACACAUGCAAGUCGAACGAGACCUUCGGGUCUAGUGGCGCACGGGUGCGUAACGCGUGGGAAUCUGCCCUUGGGUUCGGAAUAACAGUUAGAAAUGACUGCUAAUACCGAAUGAUGUCGUAAGACCAAAGAUUUAUCGCCCAGGGAUGAGCCCGCGUAAGAUUAGGUAGUUGGUGUGGUAAAGGCGCACCAAGCCGACGAUCUUUAGCUGGUCUGAGAGGAUGAUCAGCCACACUGGGACUGAGACACGGCCCAGACUCCUACGGGAGGCAGCAGUGGGGAAUAUUGGACAAUGGGCGAAAGCCUGAUCCAGCAAUGCCGCGUGAGUGAUGAAGGCCUUAGGGUUGUAAAGCUCUUUUACCCGGGAUGAUAAUGACAGUACCGGGAGAAUAAGCUCCGGCUAACUCCGU